CGUCCUAUUAGCUAGUUGGUGAGGUGAAUGGCUCACCAAGGCUACGAUGGGUAGGGGUUCUUAGUGGAAGGUCCCCCACACUGGCACUGAGAUACGGGCCAGACUCCUACGGGAGGCAGCAGUAGGGAAUAUUGGUCAAUGGGCGCAAGCCUGAACCAGCCAUGCCGCGUGCAGGAUGAAGGCUCUCUGAGUCGUAAACUGCUUUUGUACAGGAGCAAAAAAAUCCCUGCGGGGGUUCUUGAGAGUACUGUAAGAAUAAGCACCGGCUAAUUCCGUGCCAGCAGCCGCGGUAAUACGGGAGGCGCAAGCGUUAUCCGGUUUUAUUGGGUUUAAAGGGUGCGUAGGCGGCUUAUUAAGUCAGUUGUGAAAUCCUAGUGCUUAACGCUAGAACUGCGAUUGAUACUAUU
rnacentral:rRNA from 2 species